GGGCUAUAGCUCAGUUGGUUAGAGCGCACCCCUGAUAAGGGUGAGGUCGCUGGUUC
rnacentral:tRNA from 1 species